UUCGGGAACCCGUAACACAGGUGCUGCAUGGCUGUCGUCAGCUCGUGUCGUGAGAUGUUGGGUUAAGUCCCGCAACGAGCGCAACCCUUGUCAUUAGUUGCUACCAUUCAGUUGAGCACUCUAAUGAGACUGCCGGUGACAAACCGGAGGAAGGUGGGGAUGACGUCAAGUCCUCAUGGCCCUUAUGACCAGGGCUUCACACGUCAUACAAUGGUCGGUACAGAGGGUAGCCAAGCCGCGAGGUGGAGCCAAUCUCAUAAAGCCGAUCGUAGUCCGGAUCGCACUCUGCAACUCGAGUGCGUGAAGUCGGAAUCGCUAGUAAUCUCAGGUCAGCAUACUGCGGUGAAUACGUUCCCGGGUCUUGUACACACCGCCCGUC
rnacentral:rRNA from 1 species